GCACAAUGGGCGCAAGCCUGAUGCAGCCAUGCCGCGUGUGUGAAGAAGGCCUUCGGGUUGUAAAGCACUUUCAGUCGUGAGGAAGGUAGUGUAGUUAAUAGCUGCAUUAUUUGACGUUAGCGACAGAAGAAGCACCGGCUAACUCCGUGCCAGCAGCCGCGGUAAUACGGAGGGUGCGAGCGUUAAUCGGAAUUACUGGGCGUAAAGCGCAUGCAGGUGGUUUGUUAAGUCAGAUGUGAAAGCCCGGGGCUCAACCUCGGAAUUGCAUUUGAAACUGGCAGACUAGAGUACUGUAGAGGGGGGUAGAAUUUCAGGUGUAGCGGUGAAAUGCGUAGAGAUCUGAAGGAAUACCGGUGGCGAAGGCGGCCCCCUGGACAGAUACUGACACUCAGAUGCGAAAGCGUGGGGAGCAAACAGGAUUAGAUACCCUGGUAGUCCACGCCGUAAACGAUGUCUACUUGGAGGUUGUGGCCUUGAGCCGUGGCUUUCGGAGCUAACGCGUUAAGUAGACCGCCUGGGGAGUACGGUCGCAAGAUUAAAACUCAAAUGAAUUGACGGGGGCCCGCACAAGCGGUGGAGCAUGUGGUUUAAUUCGAUGCAACGCGAAGAACCUUACCUACUCUUGACAUCCAGAGAACUUUCCAGAGAUGGAUUGGUGCCUUCGGGAACUCUGAGACAGGUGCUGCAUGGCUGUCGUCAGCUCGUG
rnacentral:rRNA from 1 species